UACGAAGGGAGCUAGCGUUGUUCGGAAUUACUGGGCGUAAAGCGCACGUAGGCGGGCUGAUAAGUCAGGGGUGAAAUCCCGAGGCUCAACCUCGGAACUGCCUUUGAUACUGUUAGUCUUGAGAUCGGGAGAGGUGAGUGGAAUUCCUAGUGUAGAGGUGAAAUUCGUAGAUAUUAGGAAGAACACCAGUGGCGAAGGCGGCUCACUGGCCCGAUACUGACGCUGAGGUGCGAAAGCGUGGGGAGCAAACAGG
rnacentral:rRNA from 1 species